ACGAACGCUGGCGGCGUGCUUAACACAUGCAAGUCGAACGUGCCUGUCCUCUGGGUUUCUGGGGGGUGGGUGAGUGGCGAACGGGUGAGUAACACGUGAGUAACCUGCCCCCUUCUUCGGGAUAACGGUCUGAAAGGGCUGCUAAUACCGGGUAUUCACUGGUCUCCGCAUGGGGUCUGGUGGAAAGGUUUUUUUCUGGUGGGGGAUGGGCUCGCGGCCUAUCAGCUUGUUGGUGGGGUGAUGGCCCACCAAGGCUUUGACGGGUAGCCGGCCUGAAAGGGUGACCGGUCACAUUGGGACUGAGAUACGGCCCAGACUCCUACGGGAGGCAGCAGUGGGGAAUAUUGCACAAUGGGCGCAAGCCUGAUGCAGCGACGCCGCGUGAGGGAUGGAGGCCUUCGGGUUGUGAACCUCUUUCGCCCGUGGUCAAGCCGCGACGUGGGUCGUGGUGAGGGUAGUGGGUAAAGAAGCGCCGGCUAACUACGUG
rnacentral:rRNA from 1 species